GGAGAUAUACCCAAGUGGCUAAAGGGGGCAGCCCGAUAAGCUGUUAGGUCGGCGUAAGCCGAUGCGUGGGUUCGAAUCCCACUAUCUGAG
rnacentral:tRNA from 1 species